rnacentral:rRNA from 1 species
GCAGGUUGAAGGUUGGGUAACACUAACUGGAGGACCGAACCGACUAAUGUUGAAAAAUUAGCGGAUGACCUGUGGCUGGGGGUGAAAGGCCAAUCAAACCGGGAGAUAGCUGGUUCUCCCCGAAAGCUAUUUAGGUAGCGCCUCGUGAAUUCAUCUCCGGGGGUAGAGCACUGUUUCGGCUAGGGGGCCAUCCCGGCUUACCAACCCGAUGCAAACUGCGAAUACCGGAGAAUGUUAUCACGGGAGACACACGGCGGGUGCUAACGUCCGUCGUGAAGAGGGAAACAACCCAGACCGCCAGCUAAGGUCCCAAAGUCAUGGUUAAGUGGGAAACGAUGUGGGAAGGCCCAGACAGCCAGGAUGUUGGCUUAGAAGCAGCCAUCAUUUAAAGAAAGCGUAAUAGCUCACUGGUCGAGUCGGCCUGCGCGGAAGAUGUAACGGGGCUAAACCAUGCACCGAAGCUGCGGCAGCGAACGUAUCACCCAAGACAACUUUACGGAGUUGACGAUUGACGGAGCGAAGCGACGUCAAAGCGUUCAUUAAAGUCGAGUUGGCUUAGGGAUACGUUCGUUGGGUAGGGGAGCGUUCUGUAAGCCUGUGAAGGUGUGUCGUGAGGCAUGCUGGAGGUAUCAGAAGUGCGAAUGCUGACAUAAGUAACGAUAAAGCGGGUGAAAAGCCCGCUCGCCGGAAGACCAAGGGUUCCUGUCCAACGUUAAUCGGGGCAGGGUGAGUCGACCCCUAAGGCGAGGCCGAAAGGCGUAGUCGAUGGGAAACGGGUUAAUAUUCCCGUACUUGGUGUUACUGCGAAGGGGGGACGGAGAAGGCUAUGUUGGCCGGGCGACGGUUGUCCCGGUUUAAGCGUGUAGGUGUGUGUUCCAGGUAAAUCCGGUUCACUUUAACACUGAGGCGUGACGACGAGGCACUACGGUGCUGAAGCAACAAAUGCCCUGCUUCCAGGAAAAGCCUCUAAGCAUCAGGUAACAUCAAAUCGUACCCCAAACCGACACAGGUGGUCAGGUAGAGAAUACCAAGGCGCUUGAGAGAACUCGGGUGAAGGAACUAGGCAAAAUGGUGCCGUAACUUCGGGAGAAGGCACGCUGACACGUAGGUGAAGUGAUUUACUCAUGGAGCUGAAGUCAGUCGAAGAUACCAGCUGGCUGCAACUGUUUAUUAAAAACACAGCACUGUGCAAACACGAAAGUGGACGUAUACGGUGUGACGCCUGCCCGGUGCCGGAAGGUUAAUUGAUGGGGUCAGCGCAAGCGAAGCUCCUGAUCGAAGCCCCGGUAAACGGCGGCCGUAACUAUAACGGUCCUAAGGUAGCGAAAUUCCUUGUCGGGUAAGUUCCGACCUGCACGAAUGGCGUAAUGAUGGCCAGGCUGUCUCCACCCGAGACUCAGUGAAAUUGAACUCGCUGUGAAGAUGCAGUGUACCCGCGGCAAGACGGAAAGACCCCGUGAACCUUUACUAUAGCUUGACACUGAACAUUGAGCCUUGAUGUGUAGGAUAGGUGGGAGGCUUUGAAGUGUGGACGCCAGUCUGCAUGGAGCCGACCUUGAAAUACCACCCUUUAAUGUUUGAUGUUCUAACGUGGACCCGUAAUCCGGGUUGCGGACAGUGUCUGGUGGGUAGUUUGACUGGGGCGGUCUCCUCCUAAAGAGUAACGGAGGAGCACGAAGGUUGGCUAAUCCUGGUCGGACAUCAGGAGGUUAGUGCAAUGGCAUAAGCCAGCUUGACUGCGAGCGUGACGGCGCGAGCAGGUGCGAAAG